GCCGAAGUGGCGGAAUUGGUAGACGCGCUGCGUUCAGGUCGCAGUGGGGGUAACCCUGUGAAGGUUCGAGUCCUUUCUUCGGCACCA
rnacentral:tRNA from 1 species